rnacentral:rRNA from 1 species
UACGGAGGGUGCGAGCGUUGUCCGGAAUCACUGGGCGUAAAGGGCGCGUAGGCGGCGCGGGUAGUCGUCGGUGAAAGCUCAGGGCUCAACUCUGAGUCGGCCGGUGAUACUCCCGUGCUUGAGCACUGUAGAGGCAGGUGGAAUUCCGGGUGUAGCGGUGAUAUGCGUAGAUAUCGGGAGGAACACCAGUGGCGAAGGCGGCUCUCUGGGCCUUACCUGACGCUGAGACGCGAAAGCGUGGGGAGCGAACAGG